rnacentral:rRNA from 1 species
UACGAAGGGGGCUAGCGUUGUUCGGAAUUACUGGGCGUAAAGCGCACGUAGGCGGAUAUUUAAGUCAGGGGUGAAAUCCCGGAGCUCAACUCCGGAACUGCCUUUGAUACUGGGUAUCUUGAGUAUGGAAGAGGUAAGUGGAAUUGCGAGUGUAGAGGUGAAAUUCGUAGAUAUUCGCAGGAACACCAGUGGCGAAGGCGGCUUACUGGUCCAUUACUGACGCUGAGGUGCGAAAGCGUGGGGAGCAACAGGG